UCUCGUGUAACCGUGUACGCCUAAGUAUAAAAUGUAAACAAACAUUUUGGUAGUGCCGGUGGUGAGUGAGUUGUCCACGAAGCGAAUCAAAUCCGGACGCAGCCACAGCCAGGAGUCGGACGCGGACACAGCAGCGGAAGGUGGGUGGUGCCGGUGCGGGACGAGGUCGGGGGGAAAGUUGGUUUUCGAAAAAGGACAAGGCCAGCUUCCUGCAGGACCUGCAGCUGUUUCACGACCGGAGUUGGACGCAGUUUAUGCGGUUGCCGAAGAUCGGAGGUCGGGAUGUGGAUUUGCACCGGUUGUAUUCGGUGGUGGUGGCCAGGUGGACGAAUUGAAGUUGAAGCAGAUUUACAUCCGCUUUUCGAACAAGUACGAUAAAGUAAAUUUUAACGGUGAGGAGAAGGAUCCGACGGAAGAGGGAAACGACGAGAUGCGCCAUAAUCGGAGGGGGUCAGCGCGGAUGUUGCACUCGGUGCCGGCGGUUUACGACCAUCAGCAGCAUUAUGUGCCGGAAGUGAUGACGGGACAGUGUGGGAUGUCCUGAGGGUCCGCAGUCCAUUUCUCGUUGCGGGACAUGUUUGACGAUUAUUACCUAAACAUCCAGGAGAACAGUUUGCACCAGUUCUGGAUGGACCGUCUGUACGAAAGCCGCAAGUCCUGGAGUUGACGUACUCGGAUUACUUCCAGAGGUUGGAGCGAGAUUCGACGAACCUGAUCAAGAACAUCUACCUGGAAUACCGAAGAAGUCACCGCAACUACCGCCCACAAACGCAGCUUCAGCGGGAUGAACUUUGACGGCGAGUUGGAACAUCUGUGUCAUUCUCGAAGGAGGACGAAGUGAUCGGGAAUUAUCCGUUCAGGCGUUUUACUUCCCAGCCGGAAAACGUCGACUUCCCUUCCCGAAUCAACAACCAAUGGCCAACUCCGCUAAGCCUGUCCUGAUGAUGGCCGGCAACGAGACCACCCUGUUCUCUACAUCGCUGUCGCGCUCCAAAAUGAAGGCCGCGAUGUUGCUGCCCAACGAAACGUCCAUCCGUAACCUGCUCAGCAUGGGGCCUUCGGACGUGACUGGUUCGGUUCAACUUGGACGCGGAAGUUAGCCUACCAUAAGCAGAUGCG